GCNNGUCGAGCGAAUGGNNUAAGAGCCUGCUCUUAUGAAGUUAGCGGCGGACGGGUGAGUAACACGUGGGUAACCUGCCCAUAAGACUGGGAUAACUCCGGGAAACCGGGGCUAAUACCGGAUAACAUUUUGAACUGCAUGGUUCGAAAUUGAAAGGCGGCUUCGGCUGUCACUUAUGGAUGGACCCGCGUCGCAUUAGCUAGUUGGUGAGGUAACGGCUCACCAAGGCAACGAUGCGUAGCCGACCUGAGAGGGUGAUCGGCCACACUGGGACUGAGACACGGCCCAGACUCCUACGGGAGGCAGCAGUAGGGAAUCUUCCGCAAUGGACGAAAGUCUGACGGAGCAACGCCGCGUGAGUGAUGAAGGCUUUCGGGUCGUAAAACUCUGUUGUUAGGGAAGAACAAGUGCUAGUUGAAUAAGCUGGCACCUUGACGGUACCUAACCAGAAAGCCACGGCUAACUACGUGCCAGCAGCCGCGGUAAUACGUAGGUGGCAAGCGUUAUCCGGAAUUAUUGGGCGUAAAGCGCGCGCAGGUGGUUUCUUAAGUCUGAUGUGAAAGCCCACGGCUCAACCGUGGAGGGUCAUUGGAAACUGGGAGACUUGAGUGCAGAANANGAAAGUGGAAUUCCAUGUGUAGCGGUGAAAUGCGUAGAGAUAUGGAGGAACACCAGUGGCGAANGCGACUUUCUGGUCUGUAACUGACACUGANGCGCGAAAGCGUGGGGAGCAAACANNAUUAGAUACCCUGGUAGUCCACGCCGUAAACNAUGAGUGCUAAGUGUUAGAGGGUUUCC
rnacentral:rRNA from 1 species